UACGUAGGGUGCAAGCGUUGUCCGGAAUUAUUGGGCGUAAAGAGCUCGUAGGCGGCUUGUCGCGUCGGCUGUGAAAACCCGCGGCUCAACUGUGGGCGGGCAGCUGAUACGGGCAGGCUGGAGUUCGGUAGGGGAGACUGGAAUUCCGGUGUGAGCGGUGAAAUGCGCAGAUAUCAGGAGGAACACCAGUGGCGAAGCGGUCUCUGGACAGUUCCUGACGCUGAGGCACGAAGGUCAGGGAGGCAAACGGG
rnacentral:rRNA from 1 species